rnacentral:rRNA from 1 species
UCUUCCCUCUGGCGGCGUGCCUAAUACAUGCAAGUCGAGCGAACAGACGAGGAGCUUGCUCCUCUGACGUUAGCGGCGGACGGGUGAGUAACACGUGGAUAACCUACCUAUAAGACUGGGAUAACUUCGGGAAACCGGAGCUAAUACCGGAUAAUAUAUUGAACCGCAUGGUUCAAUAGUGAAAGACGGUUUUGCUGUCACUUAUAGAUGGAUCCGCGCCGCAUUAGCUAGUUGGUAAGGUAACGGCUUACCAAGGCAACGAUGCGUAGCCGACCUGAGAGGGUGAUCGGCCACACUGGAACUGAGACACGGUCCAGACUCCUACGGGAGGCAGCAGUAGGGAAUCUUCCGCAAUGGGCGAAAGCCUGACGGAGCAACGCCGCGUGAGUGAUGAAGGUCUUCGGAUCGUAAAACUCUGUUAUUAGGGAAGAACAAAUGUGUAAGUAACUAUGCACGUCUUGACGGCACCUAAUCAGAAAGCCACGGCUAACUACGUG